rnacentral:lncRNA from 1 species
UUUCAAGCAACUCCUAGACUUAGUGCAUACAUAAAGCAAGUAACCGAUAAUUAGACACAUGAAAUAACGACUUCAAAAUAGAUAGGUAUAAAUGCACCGGGGCUUGCCUUGUUCGUUUAAAAAGUUAGUAUUCUCUGACGGGUUGGCUUCACAGGGGACUAAUUCAAAAACUUCUUCGAACUCCGAAGGUCCUUUUGAAAAUUCCGAAUAUUCUCCUUCUGGUGCUUCGGGAUCUAUAGCAUAAUACAUGCAAGGGUUAGAAAUGCAAAAUUUUGAAUAAAAGACUAUACAACUUUCCUUCAUGAUAAAGUUGCAAGCCAACAAGGACCAUACAACCUAUCAUGAUAAAGUUGCAAGCCAACACACAUAAACCCAAAAAGAUUAACCCAUAAAUUUAUUUUUCUUACUUAACCCCCUUAAGGCUUUUUCUUUUAUUUUUAGAAAAAGUUAUAAUUAUUUUCUAACUUGGAAACCUAAUUUCCUAUGAGUUAAGAAUAAUUUGUGAUUAAGAAAAUGUUAUUCCUAUUUUAUACAUUUUAUAAAUAUUAAGUAUUUAUUUAAUUACCUUAAAAGGAAGGCAUUAAAUAAAUACACGAAUUUUUAUCUUUUUCUAGGGUGUAAAAAUUUUAAUGCAUAAAGGAAAAUAAAACAAGCCUAACAAAAUUGGUUUCACUAAUUUUGGACACUCCUAGAAAUUUCUGUGAUUUAAAUGGUGUAAAACGGAUUUAAACUAAUUACUUUCCUAAAGGAAAUCUAAUUUUCCCGAAAAUCACCCGGAAAACCUUUUCUUACUCAGCCUAACUCUACCCCCUCUCAUGCGCACUGGGCCCCAUGACGCGGACCCACCUAUCCCUAUUCCCUUCUACCCGCCGGCCUCUUUCUCCUCUUACGGGCCCCGUGGGCCGUUUUCUUUUUCCUAUUCACUUCCCGGUCUGACUUCGGCCCAACGGCCCAUCCUUUCUUUUCUUCUUUUCUCGCGAGCGCGGCCUGCUAGCUGCUCUGGGCCUCCGGCCUUUUUCUUUUCCGGCCGACCACCCCCAACUUCUUGGGCUGCUACUGCGUCGGCCCAAAGAUGCCCGUACCCCGGCCUCCUUCACUCCCCGUCUCUCUGACGUGCGGGCCUGCUGCUCCAGGCGCUUCUUCCUCCUCCCGCCAAAACACGCGCGCAACAGGGGGCGGCGCGACUCGCCGGUCGGCGCCCCACCGGCGGCGAAGCUGGGUCAGGACAGCACCUCUACACAUUCAUACACCCGUGCGCGGCAACAGCUCCUCGGGAGACGGCCGGAGCCAUUCCCUCCACGGUGGCGGGCGGCGACACCUUCGGCCGGUCGUGACUACUCACGACGACGGCACAACCUACUCAAACAACUACCCUUACACCAUCCUAGGACCCUAAGGACUUGCCUACGACUACCUAAGAAGGAAGGGGAGCAGCGCAAGGUAGGGCUCACCGUGAGCGGGCGGCGCGGCGAUGGCGGACAGAAGCGGCGGCGGUUCAAGGCGUGACGGCGAAAAAGCUGGGCAACAAGUUGCUAGGGUUACUGGUGGGGUGUGGGCGGAGGUGUGGACGGAAGGAAUCGACAGGAGCUGCGGUGUGGCGGUGGAAUUUUGCUCGGCGGCGGUGCUUGACAGAGGAGCGGCGGCGGUAAAAAGAUAGCGCUAGAAACGGCGGCGCGGGAGCAGUAGUUAUUCA